rnacentral:misc_RNA from 1 species
AUUUUCCAAGUUUUGAUUUUUCAUCGAACGCAAACGACAACAAAGCGAACAAAAACACUUUCUGCGCGCUGCGCACUCUGUGAAAACGUCAAGUGUCAAACGCAGUGGCAUCUCUGGUCAUUCCAUUAGCGACUCCAGCGAGGCGAGAAGCGGAAGUCGCCUCAGCGUUGCUGUCACUUUCAUUGACAAACGUAGCUGCACUCCUCUCCAGAAGUUACCUUCGGAAGCUGUGGCCAUGGACCGCCUGUCUCCUUGCUGUGCUUCCCUUUGCUCAUCAGACAGAGACAAGCCAGAUAAGCGUGACUUGACGGUGAUCCUACCCGAUGAUGUGGUGGCUACAAUUUUCUCCUUUCUGCACCCAACUGAUCUCGUCUCAUAUGUUCCUCUUGUUUGCAAGAGAUGGUAUCAACUAUCGAAACAUCCUGAUGCCUGGCGCUAUGCUGAUUUAACAAUUGUACCCAGUAGACUAAUGGAAAAAGCGUCUGAAAUUUCAAAGUCUACAUGGAACCUCGGCAAUCAUCUUGUGAAUAUGACCAAAGCGGCUCCAUACCUGCGCACAGUUGACCUGAGUAUGGUUGAUUCAAUCUAUCCCUGUGCAGAAAAUGUUGUCAAGGUUCUGCUAGAAGGCAAUACAAUUGUCAAAAACUUCUAUACUUUUCCCAAGUGCACUAAAAAGAUGCAACCCUACACAAUGAAAUUGCUUCAAAAGCUUUCUCCUUCAUUGCGCUCAAUCAAAUUUUCUUGUGGUGGUGGAGAUUCCAAGAAAGCAGCAACUUUCUUUGAGGGUGUAAAUGAAUUGCUUCAAAUAAUAUCUGAAGCUCCAAAGCUUAAUUACCUUACCCUUGAUUUUCGUAAUCUAAGGAGUUUUCAAGGAUAUGCAGGUCAACUUGGGCAAGGCUGUUCUGCACUGAGAAAGUUUGAAUUGAUGAACCAUCAGCCUUGUCAAGAUCAUAUUAUCCUGGAUGUUCUGAGAAACAAAAAAGAUCAACUUGUACAAGUUGGAUUUGAUUCAGAUAUCAGCCAAGAUGUAGCUGAUGCUCUAAAGGAAUGCCAUGGCCUUUUAAAAUGUCGCUUACUUCAAAAAAAUAUUUCUCUUGUUGAGAGUAUGAGCCAGCUGGAUGCACUUGAAGUCAGCUUCAUUGAAGUUCGUACUCCACGUGACAUUCCAGUUGAUUGCAUUAAGUCCUCCAAUAUUUUGCCCCACAUUUCAAAACUAACUUUGAAGGGUAGCUCGGCUAGUGGGUUCAAUUCUACUUUAAUGUCAGAAGUGUCUACUAAUACUGUUGAUGUAUUAGCUCAAAAAUGCAAAAAUGUUGUUGUUUUUAAAUUGGUUGACAUUAAUCUACCUGACCAUCUUCUGAAUUCGCUUAUGACCAACUUCCCAAAUUUGCAGGAAAUAUUAGUUGACUCUUGCGAAGGCAUAACAGCUCAACACAUAAAAAAGUUAUCUGAGCUGCCUUCUGUGCGGGUGGUUACCAUGUGUGAUAUCAUUGUUAAAAGUAAAGAGGCUAUUUUAGAAUUAAAGACAGCUUUUGAAGCAUUGAGACUUGCAAAACCCUAUGCUGUUCUUUCUCUUAGUUACGAAAUGUCUCCAUUUGAUAUACUGGAUGAUGAUUCUGAUACAGAUGGUGAAGAUCGUGAGUAUGAUGAAUUUGGUGACCCUGUAUUUACUUACUAUGAUUAUUUGCGCAACAGAUAUGGAGAUGACAUUAGUGAUAUGGAUUUGUGGGCUCUAGCCUCUUCUGAUGAAGAUUGAGAAUCGAAAAUAGAUCAGGAUCAGUGCACAUUAAAGAACUCAUUUUUUUCCUAGACGUGUUUAUCUAUGCUUUGCCCAUAGUAGCCAUUUAUCUAUGUAAAUACAUAUCUUCUUGCCUUUGAAAAAAGAAAUGCAUGAAUCCUUUCGUUUAAAUUGAUAUUUUAAAAUCUAAAAUAGAUCAGGAUCAGUGUACAUCCAUUAGUUGUCUAUAAAUCAUCUAAGAACUAAUUUUUCCUAGACCUGGUGUUUAUCUAUGUACAUAUUUAUCUUGUUGCCUUUAAAAAUAAAAAUGCAUGAAUCCUU